rnacentral:rRNA from 1 species
AUGAAAGAUCUGGGAGAAGCCGAUGUAAUUCUAAACAUCAAACUUAUUAAGGAUGAGAGUGGGAUUACAUUAACGCAAUCUCACUAUGUUGAGAAGGUCUUGAACCGAUUCGGUUUUAUGGAUAGCAAGCCUUCUCCAACACCUUAUGAUCCCAGCGCGAAACUCAGAAAGAACAAGAAAGAAACGAGAGAUCAAUUAAGAUACUCUCAAAUUGUCGGUUCACUCGUGUACUUAGCUAGCGCUACAAGACCAGAUAUCUCUUUUGCUGUGAGCAAACUGAGUAGGUUCAUGUCCAACCCGGGUGAUGAUCAUUGGCAUGCACUAGAAAGGGUCUUGCGCUAUCUGAGAGGUACUAUGAGUUACGGAAUUACUUAUUCAGGGCAUCCUGCUGUGCUAGAAGGAUAUAGUGAUUCAAAUUGGAUCUCCGAUGUUGAUGUACUCUACGCAACAAGUGGGUAUGUAUUUACUCAUGGUGGUGGCGCAGUGUCAUGGAGGUCUUGCAAGCAAACCAUAUAG